rnacentral:lncRNA from 1 species
AAAAGGUCGUCUGUGAUGACUUUAGCCGACGAAAAAAAAAAUUUCGUUGGCUAUAGUCCCGCAGUUUAGCCGACGAAAAACAUGUCGUCGGUUUUUUUCCCAGACUUUAGCUGACGAAACAAUUAAGAUAUUCGUCGGCUAAAGUCUGUAAUAAAAAAAAUUUUCCUAGACUAUAGCCGACGAAAUAUAGUAUGUUUCUUCGGCUAAACCUUAUAAAAAAUUUAAAAAAAUAACUAUAGCCGACGAAAUAUAGUCUGUUUCGUCGGCUAAACCUUAUAAAAAAUUUUAAAAAAUUACUAUAGCCGACGAAAUAUAGUCUGUUUCGUCGGCUAAACCUUAUAAAAAAUUUAAAAAAAUUACUAUAGCCGACGAAAUAUAGUUUGUUUCGUCGGCUAAAUCUUAUAAAAAAAUUUAAAAAAUAACUAUAGCCGACGAAAUAUGCCAUAAUUCGUCGGCUAAACCUUAUAAAAAAAUUUAAAAAUACUAUAGCCGACGAAUAAACCUUUAAAUAUCGUCGGCUAAAGUUGCUGGUUUUUGAAAAAAAAACUGCAGAAACUUUCGGCCACCUCCAAUCACCACCAAAAUUUGACAGAAUCUUCCUCUCAACAUUUCGAACAACUUUCUAGAAGAAGUCGAAGCCCAAUUCUAAGCCUAAACAGGUCAAUUGAAUCAAAAUAUAAAAACUUCAAAUCUUCGAUUCUCCUCACACACACCAAAUCGAGCUACCAAAUUCUAGGGGAAUGUAGUACUAAUCAAACUCAACUUAUCCAUAUAUAGAACUCAUCAAAUGGUGACCUGAGGAAGGAGAAAUUCGAUCGACACCGAAUCCGAACCGGCGGAGUUUUGGAGCUCGAUUUAUCCCUCACGGCGGCGCCACUCGAUGCACCACCUGUCCAGCAAUGAAGUAGAGACGACGGCGAAGCUUUUGGGAGAAGUGUGGCGGUCUCCGGUGGCUUGACGGCGGAGCUAGGCCGAGAAGAAAAUCUGGCAGGCGAAAUAGACUUCUGACCAUCCACCUUCGGUAAAACUCCUAUAUAAAGAACUUUAGCCGACGAAAUUCUUUAUUUUCGUCGGCUAAACUCUUUUGAAAAUUUUG